GCUCAGGAUGAACGCUAGCUACAGGCUAAACACAUUGCAAGUCGAGGGGAAACGAUAUUGGAAGCUUGCUUCCGAUAGGCGUCGACCGGCGCACGGGUGAGUAACGCGUAUCCAACCUGCCCACCACUUGGGAAUAACCUUGCGAAAGUAAGACUAAUACCCAAUGAUAUCUCUAGAAGACAUCUGAAGGAGAUUAAAGAUUUAUCGGUGAUGGAUGGGGAUGCGUCUGAUUAGCUUGUUGGCGGGGUAACGGCCCACCAAGGCGACGAUCAGUAGGGGUUCUGAGAGGAAGGUCCCCCACAUUGGAACUGAGACACGGUCCAAACUCCUACGGAGGCAGCAGUGAGGAAUAUUGGUCAAUGGGCGAGAGCCUGAACCAGCCAAGUAGCGUGCAGGAUGACGGCCCUAUGGGUUGUAAACUGCUUUUAUAAGGGAAUAAAGUGAGCCUCGUGAGGCUUUUUGCAUGUACCUUAUGAAUAAGGACCGGCUAAUUCCGUGCCAGCAGCCGCGGUAAUACGGAAGGUCCGGGCGUUAUCCGGAUUUAUUGGGUUUAAAGGGAGCGUAGGCCGGAGAUUAAGCGUGUUGUGAAAUGUAGAUGCUCAACAUCUGCACUGCAGCGCGAACUGGUUUCCUUGAGUACGCACAAAGUGGGCGGAAUUCGUGGUGUAGCGGUGAAAUGCUUAGAUAUCACGAAGAACUCCGAUUGCGAAGGCAGCUCACUGGAGCGCAACUGACGCUGAAGCUCGAAAGUGCGGGUAUCGAACAGGAUUAGAUACCCUGGUAGUCCGCACGGUAGACGAUGGAUGCCCGCUGUUGGUCUGAAAUAGGU
rnacentral:rRNA from 1 species